rnacentral:rRNA from 1 species
AUUGAACGCUGGCGGCAUGCCUUACACAUGCAAGUCGAACGGCAGCACGGAGCUUGCUCUGGUGGCGAGUGGCGAACGGGUGAGUAAUAUAUCGGAACGUACCCUGGAGUGGGGGAUAACGUAGCGAAAGUUACGCUAAUACCGCAUACGAUCUAAGGAUGAAAGUGGGGGACUCGCAAGAGCCUCAUGCUCGUGGAGCGGCCGAUAUCUGAUUAGCUAGUUGGUAGGGUAAAAGCCUACCAAGGCAUCGAUCAGUAGCUGGUCUGAGAGGACGACCAGCCACACUGGAACUGAGACACGGUCCAGACUCCUACGGGAGGCAGCAGUGGGGAAUUUUGGACAAUGGGCGCAAGCCUGAUCCAGCAAUGCCGCGUGAGUGAAGAAGGCCUUCGGGUUGUAAAGCUCUUUUGUCAGGGAAGAAACGGUGAGAGCUAAUAUCUUUUGCUAAUGACGGUACCUGAAGAAUAAGCACCGGCUAACUACGUGCCAGCAGCCGCGGUAAUACGUAGGGUGCAAGCGUUAAUCGGAAUUACUGGGCGUAAAGCGUGCGCAGGCGGUUUUGUAAGUCUGAUGUGAAAUCCCCGGGCUCAACCUGGGAAUUGCAUUGGAGACUGCAAGGCUAGAAUCUGGCAGAGGGGGGUAGAAUUCCACGUGUAGCAGUGAAAUGCGUAGAUAUGUGGAGGAACACCGAUGGCGAAGGCAGCCCCCUGGGUCAAGAUUGACGCUCAUGCACGAAAGCGUGGGGAGCAAACAGGAUUAGGUACCCUGGUAGUCCACGCCCUAAACGAUGUCUACUAGUUGUCGGGUCUUAAUUGACUUGGUAACGCAGCUAACGCGUGAAGUAGACCGCCUGGGGAGUACGGUCGCAAGAUUAAAACUCAAAGGAAUUGACGGGGACCCGCACAAGCGGUGGAUGAUGUGGAUUAAUUCGAUGCAACGCGAAAAACCUUGCCUACCCUUGACAUGGAUGGAAUCCCGAAGAGACUUGGGAGUGCUCGAAAGAGAACCAUUACACAGGUGCUGCAUGGCUGUCGUCAGCUCGUGUCGUGAGAUGUUGGGUUAAGUCCCGCAACGAGCGCAACCCUUGUCAUUAGUUGCUACGAAAGGGCACUCUAAUGAGACUGCCGGUGACAAACCGGAGGAAGGUGGGGAUGACGUCAAGUCCUCAUGGCCCUUAUGGGUAGGGCUUCACACGUCAUACAAUGGUACAUACAGAGCGCCGCCAACCCGCGAGGGGGAGCUAAUCGCAGAAAGUGUAUCGUAGUCCGGAUUGUAGUCUGCAACUCGACUGCAUGAAGUUGGAAUCGCUAGUAAUCGCGGAUCAGCAUGUCGCGGUGAAAACGUUCCCGGGUCU